rnacentral:rRNA from 1 species
CUGGGUGUAAAGGGAGCGCAGGCGGGAAGACAAGUUGGAAGUGAAAACCAUGGGCUCAACCCAUGAAUUGCUUUCAAAACUGUUUUUCUUGAGUAGUGCAGAGGUAGAUGGAAUUCCCGGUGUAGCGGUGGAAUGCGUAGAUAUCGGGAGGAACACCAGUGGCGAAGGCGGUCUACUGGGCACCAACUGACGCUGAGGCUCGAAAGCAUGGGUAGCAAACAGGAUUACAUACCCUGGUAGUCCAUGCCGUAAACGAUGAUUACUAGGUGUUGGGGGAUUGACCCCCUCAGUGCCGCAGUUAACACAAUAAGUAAUCCACCUGGGGAGUACGACCGCAAGGUUGAAACUCAAAGGAAUUGACGGGGGCCCGCACAAGCAGUGGAGUAUGUGGUUUAAUUCGAAGCAACGCGAAGAACCUUACCAGGUCUUGACAUCCGAUGCAUAGCACAGAGAUGUGUGAAAUCCUUCGGGACAUCGAGACAGGUGGUGCAUGGUUGUCGUCAGCUCGUGUCGUGAGAUGUUGGGUUAAGUCCCGCAACGAGCGCAACCCUUAUUGCCAGUUACUACGUUAAGAGGACUCUGGCGAGACUGCCGUUGACAAAACGGAGGAAGGUGGGGAUGACGUCAAAUCAUCAUGCCCUUUAUGACCUGGGCUACACACGUACUACAAUGGCGUUAAACAAAGAGAAGCAAGACCGCGAGGUGGAGCAAAACUCAAAAACAACGUCUCAGUUCAGAUUGCAGGCUGCAACUCGCCUGCAUGAAGUCGGAAUUGCUAGUAAUCGCGGAUCAGCAUGCCGCGGUGAAUACGUUCCCGGGCCUUGUACACAGGGCCCGUC